CAGUAGCCGCGGGAACACCAAGGGGGCUAGCGUUGCUCGGAAUGACUGGGCGUAAAGGGCGCGUAGGCGGCGGCCAAAGUCAGGCGUGAAAUUCCCGGGCUCAACCUGGGGGCUGCGUUUGAUACUUGGUUGCUUGAGUGGGGAAGAGGGUCGUGGAAUUCCCAGUGUAGAGGUGAAAUUCGUAGAUAUUGGGAAGAACACCGGUGGCGAAGGCGGCGACCUGGUCCAUUACUGACGCUGAGGCGCGAAAGCGUGGGGAGCAAACAGGAUUAGAUACCCGAGUAGUCCCUGUCUCUUAUAU
rnacentral:rRNA from 1 species